rnacentral:rRNA from 1 species
UAGGGAAUCUUCCACAAUGGACGCAAGUCUGAUGGAGCAACGCCGCGUGAGUGAAGAAGGUUUUCGGACCGUAAAGCUCUGUUGUUGGUGAAGAAGGAUAGAGGUAGUAACUGGCCUUUAUUUGACGGUAAUCAACCAGAAAGUCACGGCUAACUACGUGCCAGCAGCCGCGGUAAUACGUAGGUGGCAAGCGUUGUCCGGAUUUAUUGGGCGUAAAGCGAGCGCAGGCGGAAGAAUAAGUCUGAUGUGAAAGCCCUCGGCUUAACCGAGGAAUUGCAUCGGAAACUGUUUUCUUGAGUGCAGAAGAGGAGAGUAGAACUCCAUGUGUAGCGGUGGAAUGCGUAGAUAUAUGGAAGAAUACCAGUGGCGAAGGCGGCUCUCUGGUCUGCAAACUGACGCUGAGGCUCGAAAGCAUGGGUAGCGAACAGGAUUAGAUACCCUGGUAGUCCAUGCCGUAAACGAUGAGUGCUAAG